UAGAGUUUGAUCCUGGCUCAGAAUCAACGCUGGCGGCGCGCCUAACACAUGCAAGUCGAACGAGAAAGUGGAGCAAUCCAUGAGUAAAGUGGCGUACGGGUGAGUAACACGUGGAUCAUCUACCCUCUAGUGGGGAAUACCGCUGGGAAACCGGCGACAAUACCGCAUAAGCUCGAGAGAGGAAAGCAGCAAUGCGCUGGAGGAGGAGUCCGCGGUCGAUUAGUUAGUUGGCAGGGUAAAGGCCUACCAAGACUGUGAUCGAUAGCCGGCCUGAGAGGGCACACGGCCACACUGGCACUGAAACACGGGCCAGACUCCUACGGGAGGCAGCAGUGGGGAAUCUUGCACAAUGGAGGAAACUCUGAUGCAGCGACGCCGCGUGAGCGAUGAAGCCCUUCGGGGUGUAAAGCUCUUUCGGCAGGGAAGAUUAUGACGGUACCUGCAGAAGCAGCUGCGGCUAACUACGUGCCAGCAGCCGCGGUAAUACGUAGGCAGCAAGCGUUGUUCGGAGUUACUGGGCGUAAAGGGUGCGUAGGCGGCUUUUUAAGUUUGGUGUGAAAUCUCCCGGCUCAACUGGGAGGGUGCGCCGAAUACUGAGAGGCUAGAGUGCGGGAGAGGAAAGUGGAAUUCCUGGUGUAGCGGUGAAAUGCGUAGAUAUCAGGAGGAACACCGGUGGUGUAAACGGCUUUCUGGACCGUAACUGACGCUGAUGCACGAAAGCGUGGGUAGCAAACAGGAUAGAUACCCUGGUAGUCCACGCCCUAACGAUGCAUAUUGGUGUGGGCAUUCAUUUGGUCUGUGCGGAGCUACGCGAUAAUAUGCGUCUGGGGAGUACAGUCGCAUGCUGAACUCAUACGAUUGACGGGGCCCGCACUAGCGGUGGAGCAC
rnacentral:rRNA from 1 species